GACCUGGGCCCCGACCCUCCCACGGUCCUCGCACGGGCCUGGAUGGAAAGGACCGUUGCGACCGGGGGACUUGGCUCCAGGAAUGGGCAUGCCUGGCUGCUCUGUGCCAAGCCCUCGGGUGCGAUUGCAGGGCUCAGGGAUCACAGAGCCCUCUGAUGGGGGCUGUGUGAACCUCCAGCCCCAGCUGGCCAGCGUGACCUUUGCCACCAACAACCCCACCCUCACCACCGUGGCCUUGGAAAAGCCUCUCUGCAUGUUCGACAGCUCGGCGGCCCUUGAUGGCCCCUGUGAGGUCUACCUCUAUGUCCUAGUCGACUUAGCCAGCUCUAGGAACGCCUCCGUGCAGGAUGCCACCAAGGCCCCGCUGAGCUCCACCUUCCAGCAAACCGAGGGGGGAAGGACAGGCCCCUAUAAAGCAGCGGCCUUUGACCUCAUCCCCUGUGGUGACCUGCCCAGCUUGGAUGCUGUAGGGGAUGUGGCCCGGGCCUCGGAAAUCCUGGAUGCCUACCUCAUCAGGGUGGGCGCCAAUGUCACCUGCCUGUCAGAUCCCAACUUCCACGGCCUCUGCAACCCGCCCCUGUCGGGGGCCACGGAGUACAGGUUCAAGUACGUCCUCGUCAACAUGUCCACAGGCUUGGUUCAGGACCAGACCCUAUGGUCCGACCCCGUCUGCACCAACAGGCUCACCCCCUACUCAGCGAUCGACACGUGGCCGGGCCGGCGGAGUGGGGGCAUGAUCGUCAUCACGUCCAUCCUGGGCUCCCUGCCCUUCUUCCUGCUCGUCACCUUUGCCGGUGCCAUUGUCCUCAGCCUCCUCGUUUUGAAGGUUAAGGGGCAUCGUCCCUACAAGUUUCCAGCACCUGGACGCGCAACAAACAUUAGCCUUUGUCAUAGUUCACCCACUCGCUGUACAGAUGGGCACACUGAGGCCAAAGAGCCCUGGGCUUCUGACACUACCAACAGCUCUGAUGUGCAUCAGUUUGGAUGAGCUCCCGUCUCCCGAGGGGUUCCGGAGCAGCUCACAGGGCUGCCUGGUGGGAAGCCAGGGGUGCACACCACCCGCUAAUCCCGGGACCGCCAUGCAGGGGGUGAAUCAAGGCACCAGCAGGUGCUUGGGAAUCCAGAGGAAGGGACAUGGGCGGUUCUGACGGGGAAACGACGACACACGACUCCCAGAUCACGCAGGAGGCCGUCCCCAAGUCCCUGGGGACCUCGGAGCCC